rnacentral:rRNA from 1 species
UACGUAGGCAGCAAGCGUUGUUCGGAAUUAUUGGGCGUAAAGAGUGUGUAGGCGGUGCUCUAAGUUUGGUGUGAAAUCUCCCGGCUUAACUGGGAGGGUGCGCCGAAAACUGGAGUGCUUGAGUAUGGGAGAGGUAAGCGGAAUUCCUGGUGUAGCGGUGAAAUGCGUAGAUAUCAGGAGGAACACCUGUGGUGUAGACAGCUUACUGGACCAUCACUGACGCUGAGACACGAAAGCGUGGGUAGCAAACGGG